GUGAGGAAUGAGCCACCACCCAUAGUUGAUGUGAUUAUUGAUGAAACCAGCAUUGAAAACAGUGUGGAUUUCACCUCUUCAACAUUGACACCUGACACAUUCAGGCCAGAUCGUCAGCAACUAUUUAGAGAAACAACUGCAAUUGCUGUCAAUACCUAUUGCACCUCAGUAUCCUGCAAGUUGAUACUUCCAUCAGGAGAGAUCCAAAUAGUCACCCAACUUGUUAUCUUUUCAGCAAAUGUUGCCAUUCCGACUUUCCUCAUCAAGAAAAAAGAUGGAGAAAAUGUGAUGUUUGUUGUGUAUGUUCAAGUUGAUGAAGCUUAUCUCUCAAAAGAUAAUUUGGAGCACGCAAUAAUGGUAACUAAUC